rnacentral:lncRNA from 1 species
CCCUCUUUCAUUUCUAUUGUUCCCAAGCUUUGGCUAACUUAAGUAUCGAAAUAACCUCCUUAAAAAUCUUUGGUGAGUGUGGACUUCUUUUUUGGAUGAUAGGAGUGAUCACAGGUAGGAUGGUUGGAGACCAACUUCAGCUACACUGGUUCGGAGCUUUGUGGUAAUAGUUAUAUUUCAUUGUGCUAUAUCUACAUCCAUCUCAUCC